rnacentral:sRNA from 1 species
ACACGGAAGGGAGGUGGUCCAAGAAGUGAUUUCAUUCUGGACGCGUGAGGUGACUGCGCGCUAGCGCACCUCGACUGCUCGAGGUCCGCCAUCCGGCGCAAUCCCCAGCAGUUCACCGCAGCCCGUGGGCCGUGCAGGUCGUCCCCUGCACACGCCGAGCCGCCUUUGGCGACAAGGCAAGGCCCACGGGCUGUUCCAU